rnacentral:lncRNA from 1 species
CGUGCAUGGGCCUUUGAAACACAAAUUAAAAGACUACUGGCUGUAAAGCUGUUUCUCUUCCUUCUUCCCAAGUGGAUUAGGUUUAUAAAGGAUGUAUGGAGUGCUUUUUCUGGCUGGCCCCACACCUGCUGUUCCCACACAGUAGCUGGAGGACAUUGUCAGAGGCUCAGGGAGUGAUGAUGGCCUGGCUUCCAGAAAGACAGUUGAAAACUCAGCUCCAAGGAUCUGGGAGAAAUUUCCCUAAUCCCACUUUUACCGUCAUAUAUGUCUGACCUCGGCACGGGACUUUUCCUCGGAGAGCCUGUAUUGUCUUAGAGCAGUGGUGAGGAAGAGGAGAAAUAAGAAGACACUUGGUAAAGUGCUUGAUACAUAGCACAGGCUCAAAAACUGAAAAAUGCUUACAGCACAAGUAUCCAGGGAGGCUGUCCUUUUCAACUGCAUUGAAUAACCACCGAGAACAGCCCAAAGGUGGACAAUGGGGAAUGUGCAAGUAAAAUAGGAUCUACGUACAGAAUGGGUCACCACCAUGUCACAGUUGGAAGGAAUAAACUGGGUCUAUAGGCAGGGACCUGGAGCUCAAAAUACAUUAAGUAAAGGCAGACAGUUAUGGAAUAAUGCAUACAGCACAGUACAAUUUUUGCAGCACAUCAAACAGAAUUGUGGAUUUUCUAUUGUUAUGUUCAAUCGUUUGUGAAACUAUCUUUGAAAAAAAAGAAUGGGAGAGACACACUACUAACUCAUAAGAGUGGCUGUGUCUGGGGAGAGGAGCAAGGAGUUGUGAUAGCAAAUAAAGGACAUAAGAAACUCCAGCUUUUUUUUCUAAUUUUUUUUGGUACCAGGGAUCGAACUCAGGACCUUGUGCUUGCAAGGCAGGCGGCGGCACCACUGAGCUAAAUCCUCGGCCCUGUGGGUUCAAUCUUUAGGGCUGAAAUAAAGAAAUGCUGAAAACAAAUACAGUUUUGGGGUUUUUUUGUGAAUGAAUACUGGGGAUCCAACUAGGGCCUAUGUGUGCUAAGCAUGUGUUCUACCACUGAACUAUUUCCCCAGCUGUCUUGUUCUAGUUUUUAAACAUACAGGGAAGGGAGGCAAGAGUGACUCUGUGACCCAUCAAGUCCCUCAGCUCAAAGACCCUCUGACCAUCCAUGUAUUUAUUGUAGGCAGUAGUCCUUAAGGACCUAGUACCCCCCUACUCCAAAGGGCUUACAAGGGGCUUGGGGCACCUGCUUCAGCUCCCUCCCCAGUGUCAAGUUCUUCCCCAGCGUCAAGUUUAAUCUCAACCCCUUCCAC